GAUGAGCGCUAGCGGCAGGCCUAAUACAUGCAAGUCGAACGAACAGAGAAGGAGCUUGCCCCUUCGACGUUAGCGGCGGACGGGUGAGUAACACGCGGGCAACCUACCUUAUAGUUUGGGAUAAAUCCGGGAAACCGGGGCUAAUACCGAAUAAUCAGUAUCAUCUCAUGGUGAAACACUGAAAGACGGUUUCGGCUGUCGCUAUAGGAUGGGCCCGCGGCGCAUUAGCUAGUUGGUGAGGUAACGGCUCACCAAGGCGAUGAUGCGUAGCCGAACUGAGAGGGUGAUCGGCCACACUGGGACUGAGACACGGCCCAGACUCCUACGGGAGGCAGCAGUAGGGAAUCUUCCACAAUGGGCGAAAGCCUGAUGGAGCAACGCCGCGUGAGUGAAGAAGGAUUUCGGUUCGUAAAACUCUGUUGUAAGGGAAGAACAAGUACAGUAGUAACUGGCUGUACCUUGACGGUACCUUAUUAGAAAGCCACGGCUAACUACGUGCCAGCCGCCGCAGUAACAC
rnacentral:rRNA from 1 species